rnacentral:rRNA from 1 species
CACGUAGGGGGCAAGCGUUGUCCGGAUUUAUUGGGCGUAAAAAGCUCGUAGGUGGUUCGGUAAGUCGGGUGUGAAACCUCCAGGCUCAACCUGGAGACGCCACCCGAUACUGCUGUGACUGGAGUCCGGUAGGGGAGCGUGGAAUUCCUGGUGUAGCGGUGAAAUGCGCAGAUAUCAGGAGGAACACCGGUGGCGAAGGCGGAUCUCUGGGCCAUUACUGACGCUGAGGAGCGAAAGCGUGGGGAGCGAACAGG